UUGCUUUGGCAGCACAUAUACCAAAUUUGGAACAAUACAGAAAAGAUUAGCAUGGCCCCUGCAGAAAGAUGAUAUGCAAAUUCAUGAAGCACUCCAUAUUUUU